rnacentral:misc_RNA from 1 species
GAGAAGAACGUAGCGAAAUGCGAUAAGUAAUGUGAAUUGCAGAAUUCAGUGAAUCAUCGAAUCUUUGAACGCACAUUGCGCCCGCCAGUAUUCUGGCGGGCAUGCCUGUUCGAGCGUCAUUUCAACCCUCAAGCCCCAGCGGCCUGGUGUUGGGGACCGGCGACCUCGCCCGAGCCCGCCCUCCGGGGCGCGUGCCCGGUGCGUCCGCCGCCCCCGAAAUGAAUUGGCGGCCUCGUCGCGGCCUCCUCUGCGUAGUAGCACAACCUCGCAAGCGGGAGCGCGACGCGGCCACUGCCGUAAAACGCCCAACUUUUUUAGAGUUGACCUCGGAUCAGGUAGGAAUACCCGCUGAACUUAAGCAUAUCAAUAAGCGGAGGA